rnacentral:tRNA from 1 species
GCGUGGUAGCUCAGGGUUAGAGCAUCCCGAUGAUAUCGGGAGGGUCGUGAGUUCGAUUCUCACCUAUGCCU